AGCGAACGCUGGCGGCAGGCCUAACACAUGCAAAUCGAACGAACUCUUCGGAGUUAGUGGCGGACGGGUGAGUAACACGUGGGAACGUGCCUUUUGGUUCGGAAUAACUCAGGGAAACUUGUGCUAAUACCGAAUGCGCCCUUCGGGGGAAAGAUUUAUCGCCAUUAGAGCGGCCCGCGUCUGAUUAGCUAGUUGGUGAGGUAACGGCUCACCAAGGCGACGAUCAGUAGCUGGUCUGAGAGGAUGACCAGCCACACUGGGACUGAGACACGGCCCAGACUCCUACGGGAGGCAGCAGUGGGGAAUCUUGCGCAAUGGGCGAAAGCCUGACGCAGCCAUGCCGCGUGAAUGAUGAAGGUCUUAGGAUUGUAAAAUUCUUUCACCGGGGACGAUAAUGACGGUACCCGGAGAAGAAGCCCCGGCUAACUUCGUG
rnacentral:rRNA from 1 species